CCGCCCCCUCUAGCGGCGGGAAAGUCGAGCGCCCCCGACCGCGCUCCGAGCUUCCUCUGGCCUCGGAAAAGCAUCAAAAGUCUGGGCUUUACAUGCACAGAAGAAAAGGGAAAGAGGCCACUGGAGAUUAUAAAAGAGUCUGAAGAGAAGACAGUCUGCAAAGUCCUUGACAGUUCAUUACGCACCUCCCCUGGACACUGCUCAGCUGUGUAAAUAACCCAGGAACACCCAAUUCUGGGAGUCUGAAAAGGCUGGCAAACACUCCUUGGCAUGGCUGAAUUACAGACACUCUGUAGAAGAUGUUUAUUAAACGAUAAAAAAAUGCUAAUUAUAAAAAGGCAGAAAGACUUUCCUUUGCUCUUAAAAAAAUUUUUUCCCCACAGCAUUAGUGGGUUUUGUCCCAUCUUUGUUGUUAUUUAAUGCAAUGAGUGAACAUUAAACACAGUGGAGGGGAGAAGAGGGAAAAGUCCAAAACUCUGGUCCUGCUUGUACCUCUUAGUGUGUGGGAUGUCAUCAUGGUAAGGGGUUACCAUGAGUGGAUGCCACUCUCUUAACUUCCAGGCAAAUCCUCUUCCCACCCUGCCACAAUUUCCUGCCCUUCCCCAUCAUAUUGGUGGUGGAACUGCUUCAAGAAGGCAGGGCAUUCUAGAUGGAAGAGCCCUGGAAAUCCAUAACCCUGUCUCAAGCCUCUUCACAUUAGUUCAUACCACCUAACAAAACACUUUACAACACACAAAUAUCCAGGAAUCACAAAACUGUGUGGAUGAUAUACUUGAACAUUCAAGGAAACUACUGAGCAACAGCACAGGGUACACAUAAUCACUACACCAUAAAGAUGCUUUUAGCAAGUGGUUUCUGUCCAACCCGCCUCCUGACAGUGAUGUCAGACCCAACCUCGGCUUCCACACAACUUCACAGCUCCUCUGAAGCCCCAGUGGCCCCAUCUACCUUUUCUGCAUUUUUUGGGUUACCCUGCCAUCUGCCCCCACCAAACUCUGGCCUCUGACAUCACGCUGACAGUCUGUGCAUUUGUAUUUUCCUCUUCAGUGUUGUGACGAGCCAAAAACCUGUCUCCAGUCUGUACUCAGUCAAUCCUCAGUAAUGUGGACAUCAACGAAAGCUAACAGAAAGCAAAUCUGCAAGCCUCUUCAGUUUUAAUGAGCUGCAGAGGUGUUUCAUGCUAGACUAAAUCUGUCUUCUGUAAGAAGCUACAAGAGGCUUGUUUAUGGCAGGUGCUGCUGCGUUAAGGAUCUCCACAACAGUAGCAAAGCGACAGCAUCCUAAAUGGAGUCACUGUGGGCACUUGCCCCUGGCUGAGGCCUCCCCUGUGGCCUUCAGCCUCCACUAGAAGCUUCCACCCUGAGCAACUCACAUAUACUUCCUGGUUGUGGUUGAGAUACUGGCAAACAAUGUUCUGGGAUUUCAGUCUCAGAAAGAAAUCAGCUUUCAGUCACGCUGUAACCUAAUGGGAGCCGUUAGGGGUGUCUCUGAGGAAGAAGUUACUAAUGCAUAAUUUGGCAGGAGCUGGUGAUUAGAAGUCUCCAUUUAAACAACUACAACCACCAUCAACAUACUGUACAGAUUCCUAUCAACACCCAACAGUUUUAUUUCUGGUGUCUGUGUGUUUUCCAGUUGCAACUCUACUCCUUCUUGAAAAGAAUAAAUCAAAAAUACCCUACAUAAUGAACAACAAGACACUGUAAGACAGUGACAAUAUUAUGUACAUAAAUACUGUGUACAAACCUUAGAGAAAUGACAAACCUUCCAGGAAAAGGAAAAAAAAGUGUUAACAGUGAUAAUACCGAAAAUAAAAUAUUGCAUUCAAUGGAUGUUAAACAUAUGUAAUGUUAACAAUUCAAAUAUAAUCUAUGAAAUUUAAAAAAAUAGGCAGCAUGGGGACAACAGCAUGGGGAAGGAAAAUAAACUGGAAGAAAAUAUGGCCAUUAAACUCAGAAGGCCCAAAGAAUUAUUCAAGUAAUGGAAGGGUUAAAACCCUACAUACGUAUUCAUUUUACAAGAACACACUGACUUUCGAUUGCUGCUUUUCAAACAUGUCACUGUUGUUUUCAGUUGGGAGGACACUGCAGGCACAUUUUUCUGGUAGGGAGAGCCAAAAUGCCCAUCUGUGUGGAUCCACCAACCUAGCAGUUUCUGGGCAGCAGCCUCUCCACCCCCAACUUUAUGUUUUCCUCCUCUUAUCAUGCUUUCCUCUACAGAAGACCACUUGGAUUUGGGGUCCUGUUUUAAUUUCAAAAAUAAUUUUCUUGGGGAAGAAACUAUAUGAUAAAUUUGCAGAGCUGGCCAUUAUCAUGCCUUACUGUAAUGAUACACUCUGGAAUACCGGAAGAUCCUCUUUUAAAGCAAAGUGGAACCUGCCUCCUUCAGGAACUCUAAAGGGCUGCGGCUGGACAAAGGCUGAGAGCCCUCUGACUUCUGGCUGCCCUUUAGCCCAUUCGAUGCCUCAGGUCUGGAAACCAAACCAUCAUCACAAAGGCAGGGGAACAUUUCCAAUUCCCAGCUUUAUCUCCAAAUAAUUUCCUCCGAAUCUGUUUCCUUCCCUCAAUCAAGGAACCAUGCCUUU